rnacentral:lncRNA from 1 species
UGAAAUGUUUCUUAAGUAAAAAUUGUGUGGCACGCACUAUACAUUGACAUAACAUUUGUGAUGCGGACGACAUCACAGAAGAUUGUUCAACAUAGCGCGUGUGCAAAAAGAUGCCUAUCACAAACAUUUAAUCUAUCAUGCUAUUUGGGAUGUGAACCAUAUAACACAUGUUAAAGAAUUACAAAAUGUGUGCGGUCCUAUUAUUAUUGCACACAUUUUCCUUUUUUAAUAUAGUACAGGCGCAAGCGUUUAUAUACACACGCUACAUAAG